rnacentral:rRNA from 1 species
UAGCGGAGGGGGCUAGCGUUGUUCGGAAUUACUGGGCGAAAGCGCACGAGGCGAUAUUUAAGUCAGGGGUGAAAUCCCAGAGCUCAACUCUGGAACUGCCUUUGAUACUGGGGAUCUCGAGUCCGGAAGAGGUUGGUGGAACUGCGAGUGUAGAGGUGAAAUUCGUAGAUAUUCGGAAGAACACCAGUGGCGAAGGCGACACACUGGCCCAUUACUGACGCUGAUGCGCGAAAGCGUGGGGAGCAAACAGG